rnacentral:rRNA from 1 species
UACGUAGGGGGCGAGCGUUGUCCGGAUUUAUUGGGCGUAAAGCGCACGUAGGCGGCUUUGCAAGUCGGAUGUGAAAUCCCUCGGCUUAACCAAGGAAGUGCAUCCGAAACUGCAGAGCUUGAGUACGAAAGAGGAUCGCGGAAUUCCCGGUGUAGAGGUGAAAUUCGUAGAUAUCGGGAGGAACACCAGUGGCGAAGGCGGCGAUCUGGGUCGAUACUGACGCUGAGGUGCGAAAGCCAGGGGAGCGAACGGG